UAGAUAUCAAGAAACUUAAACCCUGAGUUGUCAGUGGCCCUGUUGGUGGAGAGGAUCUGCCUUCAAUGUACAGCAAUCCAGAGGAAAGCUGAGUCACCAGAUGACUCUGAAACCCAUUAAGGAAGAAACUGCAUCUGUCUUGCUCACCAUUGUUCACCUAGCAUAGCACCUGUCACAAGUCAGCUGUAUUACAGAUAACUGGUGACAGUGUUCUGGAGGGAAGACCGCACUGCUCCAUUUGAACACCUCGUCGACUCACUCACUGGUUUGAAAUAUGUCAACACUCAGAGAAUGAAAACAAGAGAUAUGAAAAUAAGCUUAUGAAAAACUUGCCUCUGAUGUUACAAACUAAAGGAAUGUGAGAUUGGAACAAGGAACCUAUAAUUUUUACCCAGUUAAAGGAGAAAAGCGCCUCUUCUUUGCUCCCAGUCAGCACCCUCUUGUACGGCGGGGACCCAGCUGCAAUGCAACACGCCCUCUCCAUCCUCUUCUCCUUUGCUGAGUGAACUUGUUCCAGAUCUGCACAGGGGCCUGAGGCAGGCAGAGAGUGGUAACACCUUUCUCUGCAGUCACCUUCAGAUCUUGAUAUCCUGCACCUUCUGUUAUCUUGUGAAUCAAAAGACCCAAAGUGCAAUUAGCCACACAUUGGCAGGAGUUCAAGGAAAGGCUGAAAAUGCUUCUUAGGAACUAUUUUAAUCCCAAACAGUUACCGUUUGGAGAACAGGUUGAAACAUAUGUAAUAUAGGCACCAAAAUGUAGGCGAUUAUCUCCAAAGGGCAAGAGGGGACAGAGAAUAAAGCCCAUGCUGCCCUGAGGUCGAGGAUAAAGAACUGAAGAAAUGCCUUCUUUGGUUUUCCAAGGGUCACAAUGUCAGCUGAAGAAUGAAAUGAUAAGACAAACGGAACAGCUUGAUAACACCCAAAUGGGUAUAUUUAUUCGCACAGUUCAAGCCUGACUAUUGGAGCUCUUUUCCUGUCCACUGACAGCCAUUCUGAGCAUUGUAACAAGAUCCAGAACAUGAUGUCUAGAAACCCUUAAUGAUACUCUGUACAAAGUGGAUGAACGGUGACAAGGCAGAGGAAAGUGUGUGCAGAAGUUUUGGCUCAAAAAUCCUGUGACUUUCAGAGGUUCUGUGUGUUGGCUUCAAUCUUUGAACAACACAAAGACAAUAGCUCCCACCUAAUGUUUCUGAAGAUAGAAAUGGAUGUCCCAGAGUUAGAAUUGCCUUCUGUUUAAAUAAUGCCAUUUGUGAAGUCCUUGCACUAUUGCAUGGGACAUGAUGAGAUGCCUCUGGUCUUCCCUUCCAUAAUUUCAUCCUGCCAUUUAACCAUGUGUAUUCACACUCAUUCACAUACACACACACUCCUUGAUAAAGCACUGUAUGUUGUGGUAUUGCUAUAAGGCAGUAUUAAUUAUUAUUCAAUAUCUACCAAGCAGCUAUUCUACAAUGAGAUUUUCAGAAAGGAAAUACACUGUCAAAAGUAUAACACCACCUUGUAGGAUCAGUUAAGGGAAAAAUAUGGGCUAAGGAGGCGGAAAUCCUUCUUUAGACUCACUGAGAAAUUAUGUCAAGGCUUGAAAAGUUCCAUAGGCUUUUGCAGCAUUCAAAUCUUUCCUUUAGGACCAACUUCUAUGGAAAUACACUAUGCCUGGAAUGUGCCCUGUCAAAGCCAGACAUAUUCUUUUAAUUGAAUCUUUCUCUAAGAGUAGUGAAUUUUUUUUUCAUCUGUAAUUUGCUUUUUAUGUGAAGAGAGAGACGUUCUGUUUCUCUUCUUUGGGGGGUUGUCAUAUUCCUGUAAAAACAAUCAAUGUUGGACCAUUUAUCUCUUGCUUCAUCAAACUGUGUUGUAGGAUGUAAGUAUGUGUAUGUUCACAAUAUAGAUUUUUCAUUUCUGUGUUUUACAGUCAUAUUAUUGGCGAGUGGCUCUCAUUUAUUUUGCAGAACAUUUCUAAGCCGAUGACGACCUUUAGUCUUUGUUUGUUAACUGUGUCCUGCCUGUCUACCUUUUUAUGCAAUAAUUGCUUUCAGGGAAUAAAACAGAAAUGGGGUAUUGCUUUGUUUAAUAUUUUUCAAAUCAAAUACACCAUAGCACAACCAUCUGUGAAAAUACAUUUCAGCUUUCAUCAAAUUCUGCCAUGUUUUUUUUGAGGAUUAAUAAUCCCUUCAUGUGGGUAUGCUUCUAUGGCUGAU
rnacentral:lncRNA from 1 species